GGGGAUUUAGCUCAGUGGUAGAGCCCUUGCCUAGCAAGCGCAAGGCCCUGGGUUCGGUUCCCAGCUCCA
rnacentral:tRNA from 1 species